rnacentral:rRNA from 1 species
CCUACGGGAGGCAGCAGUGAGGAAUAUUGGUCAAUGGACGAGAGUCUGAACCAGCCAAGUAGCGUGAAGGAUGACUGCCCUAUGGGUUGUAAACUUCUUUUAUAUGGGAAUAAAAUGUUCCACGUGUGGGAUUUUGUAUGUACCAUAUGAAUAAGGAUCGGCUAACUCCGUGCCAGCAGCCGCGGUAAUACGGAGGAUCCGAGCGUUAUCCGGUUUUAUUGGGUUUAAAGGGAGCGUAGGUGGAUUGUUAAGUCAGUUGUGAAAGUUUGCGGCUCAACCGUAAAAUUGCAGUUGAAACUGGCAGUCUUGAGUACAGUAGAGGUGGGCGGAAUUCGUGGUGUAGCGGUGAAAGGCUGAGAUAUCACGAAGAACUCCGAUUGCGAAGGCAGCUCACUGGACUGCAACUGACACUGAGGCUCGAAAGUGUGGGUAUCAAACAGGAUUAGAUACCCUUGUAGUC